rnacentral:rRNA from 1 species
GCCAGCGACAAUAGUACUUUGAAUGCACCAGUUCUUGAUGGAUCACUAAAGUUAGAGCCAGCGCCAAUAGUGAGGACAUUUUGAAUGCACAAGUUCCCAACCAACCAGCGACAGCGGCGAUAGCACCAGAUCACUAAAGCCAACGUUACGCGUGGUUGGUAUGCGAAUGGGUGACCAUCUGGACAAUCGCGUGCUGGCU